rnacentral:lncRNA from 1 species
GGUCGCUCGGGAGCCUUCCCCGAAGGGGGGCCCAAGACACCCUGGGGAUGGGGAUGGGGUGGGAGGGCUGCGGCGCCGAGGAGAGACCUUGCAAGUAAGGGAGGUCGGAGGGGCCAACACUCGCUCUGUGUUUAGGGAAACUGAGCGGAUCGGCCUGGAUGGAGCCGCCGUCUCCCCAGCCCCAGCCGUGCAGACGCCGAGAGGAGGGAAGGCCGAGGGACAGGAGGCGGCCCGGCCCUGACGCCAUGAACAAGCAGGAGGCCGAGAAGGCGGCCAGUCCCCUGUUGGAGAAAAGGCCCGAGAGUCUUGGCCUGGGACAGGACUGCGGCCCAAGAGGGCCUUGCCUGCCUCGCCAACUGGCCUCACGACGGGAGCUGCGGCGCCAGAGGGCUGGUCUCCAGACGCGUCCACAAGCGUCUCCCGUGAGUCCACCCGGGCCGUGCACCGCCAACGGCCACUCAGCUGCCUCAGCCGGGCCCGACUGCAGACGAGGCGAGGAAGAAGCAGAGGUCGUUGGCCUGGGCUGAGAAGAAAGUUGUGGGCAAAGACAUUGCUCCACUCAGAGGCUGCCGUCCUCCAGGCUGGGAUCCAACUGUCGCUAGAAGGUUCAGCUGGUAGUGAUUGCACGUGACGUGGAUCCCAUCGAGCUGGUGUCCUCCUGUCUGUCCUGCGUGGUGGGAUGGGGUCCCCAUCGCGUUAGCAAGGGGAGCGCCGGGAAGGGGCGCCUGGUCCCCGUGAAGACCUGCCCCUCUGUCGCCCUCACACAGGUUAACUCGGAAGACGGAGGAGCUCUGGCUAAGCUGAUGAAGCCGUCGGCACCAAGCACGACAGAUACGAUGUCCACCCUCACUGGGGUGGCUCACACGGCCAAGCUGGAAAAGACAAAGGCUAAAGAACUGGCCUCCAAACUGGGCUGAGCGGACGCUGGUUGAAUCUUCUGUGCAGAAAAGUAAUGAGAAGUUCUCUUUCAAAUAAGAAAAAAAAGACUGGAUGAAACCCGCGUGUAGAUGCACGUCGAAGAAUGGAAGGUAACACUGAGGAGAGGCCACGGGCGAGACCAGGCUCCAUGAGGCAUCUGGACUUUCUCCUCCAGUUGAGAAGUACCCAGGUCCUUGCUUUUACCUCAGGCUCCUCGGAAAUCCUGGUGUCCUGCUUGACACAAAACUUGGCUUUGUCACGGUUGAGGAGAUGAGCACAGGCCCCGCACACGGAGAGGGCUCAAGGCAAAAGUCACACAGAGAGAGAGAGAGAGAGAGGCAGAGACACAGGCAGAGGGAGAAGCAGGCUCCAUGCACCGGGAGCCCGACGUGGGAUUCGAUCCCGGGUCUCCAGGAUCGCGCCCUGGGCCAAAGGCAGUCGCCAAACCACUGCGCCACCCAGGGAUCCCCAGGACCGUUUAUUUUCUAAGGACUUUUUUGAGGGGCAGCAGCUCCCGUCCUCAGAAGAGAUUCUGUGAAGAUCCUAAACGUAUAAAACAUUUACAAGUGGAAUUGCUUGGGGUAAGGAGGGGACGGAUUGCCUGGAGUCCCACGGGUAAGUCUUUAGGUACCUAAGGACCCCCCAAACCUGUUGAACCUGGUUUUCAGGUAAGAAAGGCAACGGCAAGCCAUGAAAGGGCGAUCCUAUAUACACUUGAGAAAGAUGCCCGUGGCUGCCGGGUGGGACCUACAUUGGAGAUAGCCCCGUUGAAGGUGGCUACCGGAACAGUCCAGAUGUGGGCCGAGGGUUCUAGACCCAGGGCAGCGGCAGAAAGCAUGAAGACCUGGUUUGGAUUCAAGAAACGUUCCCGAGCUCAGGUGCCUGGGUGGCUCAGGCAGCUAAGCGAACGACUCUCCAUUUCAGUUCGGGGUGUGAUCUCUGGGUUGUGGGAUCGAGCCCUGUGUCGGGCUCCACACUCAGUGGGAAGUCUGCUAGGGUUCCUCUCCCGCUCCCUCAGCCCCGUGCCCCCGGCUCACAAGAGUGUGUGUAUGUGUACAAAAACACCUACACACUCUCUCCCUAAAAUAAAUAAAUAAAAAUCUUUUUUUU